GUAGGGAUCCGAGCGUUAUCCGAAUUUACUGGGCGUAAAGCGCGUGGUAGGCGGCUGGGGUAAGUUGGGACGUGAAAGCUCCUGGCUCAACUAGGAGAGGUCGUUCAAAACUGCCCUGGCUAGAGGGCGACAGAGGGAGGUGGAAUUCCCGGUGUAGUAGUGAAAUGCGUAGAUAUCGGGAGGAACACCAGUGGCGAAGGCGGCCUCCUGGGUCGCACCUGACGCUCAGACGCGAAAGCUAGGGGAGCAAACGGGAUUAGAUACCCCGGUAGUCCUAGCUGUAAACGAUGUGGACUUGGCGUUGGUGGGGUCAAAUCCAUCAGUGCCGGAGCUAACGCGAUAAGUCCACCGCCUGGGGACUACGGUCGCAAGGCUA
rnacentral:rRNA from 1 species